rnacentral:rRNA from 1 species
ACGGAAGGCAGCAGUGGGGAAUAUUGCACAAUGGGGGAAACCCUGAUGCAGCGACGCCGCGUGAGUGAAGAAGUAUUUCGGUAUGUAAAGCUCUAUCAGCAGGAAAGAAAAUGACGGUACCUGACUAAGAAGCCCCGGCUAACUACGUGCCAGCAGCCGCGGUAAUACGUAGGGGGCGAGCGUUAUCCGGAUUUACUGGGUGUAAAGGGAGCGUAGACGGCUUUGCAAGUCUGAAGUGAAAGCCCGGGGCUCAACCCCGGAACUGCUUUGGAAACUGUAGAGCUAGAGUGCAGGAGAGGUAAGUGGAAUUCCUAGUGUAGCGGUGAAAUGCGUAGAUAUUAGGAGGAACACCAGUGGCGAAGGCGGCUUACUGGACUGUAACUGACGUUGAGGCUCGAAGGCGUGGGGAGCAAACAGGAUUAGAUACCCUGGUA